GUGGGGAAUAUUGCACAAUGGGGGAAACCCUGAUGCAGCAACGCCGCGUGAGUGAUGAAGGUCUUCGGAUUGUAAAACUCUGUCUUUGGGGACGAUAAUGACGGUACCCAAGGAGGAAGCCACGGCUAACUACGUGCCAGCAGCCGCGGUAAUACGUAGGUGGCAAGCGUUGUCCGGAUUUACUGGGCGUAAAGGGAGCGUAGGCGGAUUUUUAAGUGGGAUGUGAAAUACCCGGGCUUAACCUGGGUGCUGCAUUCCAAACUGGAAGUCUAGAGUACAGGAGGGGAAAGUGGAAUUCCUAGUGUAGCGGUGAAAUGCGUAGAGAUUAGGAAGAACACCGGUGGCGAAGGCGACUUUCUGGACUGUAACUGACGCUGAGGCUCGAAAGCGUGGGGAGCAAACAGGAUUAGAUACCCUAGUAGUCC
rnacentral:rRNA from 1 species